GCUCCAAUAGCGUAUAUUAAAGUUGUUGCGGUUAAAAAGCUCGUAGUUGGAGUUCUGCCAGGUGACGCUCGUCCGCCAAGUGGUGUGUACAGGGCGUGCAUCUGGCCUUUCAAGGGGAACGUGUUGCACUUUAUUGUGUGGCGCGAGAUCCUUGACUUUUACUUGAGGAAAUAAGAGUGUUCCAAGCAGGCUCUCGUCGU
rnacentral:rRNA from 1 species